rnacentral:rRNA from 1 species
UACGUAGGGGGCAAGCGUUGUCCGGAUUUACUGGGCGUAAAGAGCGUGUAGGCGGCCAUACAGGUCCGUUGUGAAAACUGGAGGCUCAACCUCCAGCUGUCGACGGAAACCGUGUGGCUAGAGUCCGGAAGAGGAGAGUGGAAUUCCUGGUGUAGCGGUGAAAUGCGCAGAUAUCAGGAAGAACACCAAUGGCGAAGGCAGCUCUCUGGGACGGUACUGACGCUGAGACGCGAAAGCGUGGGGAGCGAACAGG